AGUGAGAAAAGUAGGUAUUUGAGAUAACCAUGUAUGUGAAUACUCUGGGGUGUGUGGUCCAAGCAUAAAACAGGUCAUGUUCAGCCAAAAGAGACAACACUGAAAAAACUUGGCUACUGCAUAACCAAUCUAUGCUUAACACAAUUUUGAAAAGGAGAUAGAAUCUUCAUUGGGACAGAGGGAUCUCAUUUGGACAGAGGGGAACUC